GUUAGAUUGAAAUAAAGAGAUGGGAUUUCUUUUGUAGAGUUUGACUCUCUGAAGCACUUUCAAGAUGAAUGACUAACAUGCUGUGUCAAUUUUUCUUCCUUCUGUAAAAAAGGAAACUAUAACGCUUCGUGCUGUACCGGUUGACAUCAUUAUCAUUACCACUUUUGCGUAAAAGGAAAUUGAAAUCGCUCUUUAAUCAAGCAUACAGUGUAAGGAGAAAAACGAUCAAGAAAGCACGUCAACAACGGAUUGGAAAAUUAGAGCAGAGAUGAGCACGUGCAAUGGAUUCGGAAAGAUCCGUCAUCGCUUUCGAAAAUUUCUCCCUUUUUCCUCGAGGCAGGCGAAAGACCCCUUUACAACUACCCGAGUCGCGGGGAAGCUACGAGAAACGGCCCUGAUGGCCUGUAAACAAGUGAAACAGAACUUUCACGGCCACGAGCUCGACCUGGUCACUUCGUUUUAGGUGUACAGAUAUUACAUAUAUAGUACAUACGAGGUCGGACAAAAAACGAAGCAGAAACAGCAACGGUUAUCCCAGCCUGGUCUCUGUGAGAGCGGAAUCGACGCAUAAAAAGGAAACAGGUUAUCGAAUUAAAGCGAUACCGGUCCCGAGACGCGUAAUUUCUAUCCCCAGGCCAUUCCAGAAUAAUAUUUGGAGGGCAACGGUAUACGCCUUGGGCGAAUCUUUCGAUAUCUUCCAUCUUUAAUUCUCAAUUUAUGACACGUCUUUCCACUAUAGUACCAUGGAAACCUAGGCGAAAAAAUGCUUCACUACGCAAUAAGAUCGUUUUCGUUUACUUACGAACUCGAAUGGAUCACAUUACACCUCGACGCCAUGGUUCGGAGAUGUUCAAGAUG